AUGCCCAAAAAAGGGAGAGCGCGCGGCAGCCCCCCCCGCCCCCCGUCGUCACACACGCUCCUCCGGGGCGGCCCGCUCGCAGCGCAGCGCAGCGCGGCUCCAAAAUUGGCAGCCCGGGCCUCGCAGCCGCCUUUUUUUAGCCUGCGUUCCCCCAAACCAGGGAAGAGGCGGGUGACUAAGAAUGCAAAUCGGAGCCGGGGCGUCCGCAGGCAGGCCCCGUGGGCGCGGGGCGUCUGGCUGGGGGAGACCCCGCGACCUCGGGUGCCCCGCGCUCGACCCGCUGGGGGGGCGGGGAGGGGCGCCGGGGGAGGACGCUCCCCGCCUCCCGGGCUGCGGCGGCGGCGGGACCCGGGGCGCCCCGUCUUCCGCCGGGGGGUAGGGAGGGGAGGCCGGGCUAGGGACGCCGCGCCCGCCGCACGCAGGUGGCUUUCCGCUCGGGAGGGGCCGGCCCGGCGCUUUUCUCUAACAAUAGGGCCCCGCGCGCCGGGAAUGCGCCCCCCCCCCCACGCCGCGGCCCCCGCCCGCCCCGCCUCCAUCCGGUGCCCGGCCCGCCCGGCGCUUCCCGGGUACCUGCUGCUCCCCUGCUGCUCCCCGCGGCGCCCAGCCCUCCUGGCGAGCCCGGGGGGCGCGGGGGAGGUCUCGGCAGGCGCCCCGCCUCGCCCCUCGCCCACCCCAGGCCGUGACCGGACCCCGGACCCCGGACCCCUCCGCGGGGCCGCCCAGCGCCGCGCACCCCGGGGUGGGGGUGGGGGGCGGGGUGCUGGGCGGGAGCGCAACGCGCAGGCGCGCCCGGUGCUGCGCAAAGUGCCCGGCGCCCCGGGGCGGGGGGCGGGGGUGGGGGGGGCGCCUGGGUGGGACGGAAGGCUCCCCUCCGACGGGCCCCCCCGGCCUUGCGGGGGGCCCGCGCGCCCUACAUGCACCGAGCCCAGGCAGCCCCGCCAGCCCGGCUCCUCUGUCGGAAGCCGAGCUUGCUGCCCAGAAAUGAUUAACGAGCGCAGCUCCCCGGCGCGCGGUGGGUGA
rnacentral:lncRNA from 1 species